rnacentral:rRNA from 1 species
GAUCCUGGCUCAGGAUGAACGCUGGCGGCGUGCUUAACACAUGCAAGUCGAACGAAGCAACUAAGACAGAAGCCUUCGGGUGGAAGAUUUAGUUGACUGAGUGGCGGACGGGUGAGUAACGCGUGAGGAACCUGCCUUUCAGAGGGGGACAACAGUUGGAAACGACUGCUAAUACCGCAUAACGCGUAGAGGUCGCAUGGCCUUUACGCCAAAGAUUUAUCGCUGAAAGAUGGCCUCGCGUCUGAUUAGCUAGUUGGUGAGGUAACGGCCCACCAAGGCGACGAUCAGUAGCCGGACUGAGAGGUUGAACGGCCACAUUGGGACUGAGAUACGGCCCAGACUCCUACGGGAGGCAGCAGUGGGGAAUAUUGCACAAUGGGCGAAAGCCUGAUGCAGCGACGCCGCGUGAACGAAGAAGUAUUUCGGUAUGUAAAGUUCUAUCAGCAGGGAAGAAAAUGACGGUACCUGACUAAGAAGCACCGGCUAAAUACGUG